rnacentral:rRNA from 1 species
GUGUCAGCCGCCGCGGUAAUACGGGGGGGGCGAGCGUUGCCCGGAAUCACUGGGCUUAAAGGGGGCGUAGGCGGCCCGGCAAGUCAAGUGUGAAAUCCGGCGGCUCAACCGCUGGGCUGCGCUUGAAACUGCCGGGCCUGAGUGCAGCAGAGGGAGACGGAAUUGCCGGUGUAGGGGUGAAAUCCGUAGAUAUCGGCAAGAACGCCGGUGGGGAAGCCGGUCUCCUGGGCUGUUACUGACGCUGAGGCCCGAAAGCUGGGGGAGCGAACCGGAUUAGAUACCCGGGUAGUCCCAGCCGUAAACGAUGCUCACUAGGUGUGGGGGAGAUAAAUCCUCCGUGCUGAAGCUAACGCGCUAAGUGAGCCGCCUGGGGAGUAUGCCCGCAAGGGUGAAACUUAAAUGAAUUGACGGGG